CCUACGGGGGGCAGCAGUGAGGAAUAUUGGUCAAUGGCCGGAAGUCUGAACCAGCCAAGUCGCGUGAGGGAUGACUGCCCUGUGGGUUGUAGACUUCUUUUGUAUGGGAAUAAAACGUUCCACGUGUGGGAUUUUGUAUGUACCAUGUGAAUAAGGAUCGGCUAACUCCGUGCCAGCAGCCGCGGUAAUACGGAGGAUCCGAGCGUUAUCCGGAUUUCUUGGGUUUAAAGGGAGCGUAGGUGGAUUGUUAAGUCAGGUGUGAAAGUUUGCGGCUCAACCGUAGACUUGCAGUUGAAACUGGGGAUCUUGAGUGGGCGAGAGGCAUGCGGAAUGCGUGGUGGAGCGGUGAAAUGCAUAGAUAUCACGCAGAACCCCGAUUGCGAAGGCAGCAUACCGGCGCCCGACUGACGCUGAGGCACGAAAGCGUGGGGAUCGAACAGGAUUAGAUACCCCAGUAGUC
rnacentral:rRNA from 1 species